GGACGAACGCUGGCGGCGUGCCUAAUACAUGCAAGUCGAGCGAAUCAAUGGGAGCUUGCUCCCUGAGAUUAGCGGCGGACGGGUGAGUAACACGUGGGUAACCUGCCUGUAAGACUGGGAUAACUUCGGGAAACCGGAGCUAAUACCGGAUAGUUUCUUCUCUCGCAUGAGAGAAGAUGGAAAGAUGGUUUCGGCUAUCACUUACAGAUGGACCCGCGGCGCAUUAGCUAGUUGGUGAGGUAACGGCUCACCAAGGCGACGAUGCGUAGCCGACCUGAGAGGGUGAUCGGCCACACUGGGACUGAGACACGGCCCAGACUCCUGGGGGAGGCAGCAGUAGGGAAUCUUCCGCAAUGGACGAAAGUCUGACGGAGCAACGCCGCGUGAGCGAAGAAGGCCUUCGGGUCGUAAAGCUCUGUUGUUAGGGAAGAACAAGUACGAGAGUAACUGCUCGUACCUUGACGGUACCUAACCAGAAAGCCACGGCUAACUACGUGCCAGCAGCCGCGGUAAUACGUAGGUGGCAAGCGUUGUCCGGAAUUAUUGGGCGUAAAGCGCGCGCAGGCGGUCCUUUAAGUCUGAUGUGAAAGCCCACGGCUCAACCGUGGAGGGUCAUUGGAAACUGGGGGACUUGAGUGCAGAAGAGGAGAGUGGAAUUCCACGUGUAGCGGUGAAAUGCGUAGAGAUGUGGAGGAACACCAGUGGCGAAGGCGACUCUCUGGUCUGUAACUGACGCUGAGGCGCGAAAGCGUGGGGAGCAAACAGGAUUAGAUACCCUGGUAGUCCACGCAGUANACGAUGAGUGCUAAGUGUUAGAGGGUUUCCGCCCUUUAGUGCUGCAGCUAACGCAUUAAGCACUCCGCCUGGGGAGUACGGCCGCAAGGCUGAAACUCAAAGGAACUGACGGGGGCCCGCAC
rnacentral:rRNA from 1 species